AGUGGUGUGAGCACAGUGGUUUGAGCUUUGGGCUCUGGCUCUGGAGAUCAGGGUUCGAAUCCUGGCUCGGCUA